CGUAGCUCAGCUGGUUAGAGCGCUACACUGAUAAUGUAGAGGUCGGCAGUUCGAGUCUGCCC
rnacentral:tRNA from 1 species